GUAUUAUGAUGAAAUCCAUGCGUGUCAACUGACUCUGUUGACCCUGCGGUGUUGUUACCCAUGUUAGCGUUUUGCUAAUGUGAGCUUUCACCACAACAGGACUUCAGAGACAUGAUCACACCUUCACACUUCUGAAUAC
ensembl:snoRNA small nucleolar RNA SNORD10